UACGAAGGGGGCUAGCGUUGCUCGGAAUGACUGGGCGUAAAGGGCGCGUAGGCGGCUCAUACAGUCAGAUGUGAAAUUCCUGGGCUUAACCUGGGGGCUGCAUUUGAUACGUGUGGGCUUGAGUGGGGAAGAGGGUCGUGGAAUUCCCAGUGUAGAGGUGAAAUUCGUAGAUAUUGGGAAGAACACCGGUGGCGAAGGCGGCGACCUGGACGAAUACUGACACUCAACUGCGAAAGCGUGGGGAGCAAACAGG
rnacentral:rRNA from 1 species